rnacentral:rRNA from 1 species
UACAGAGGGGGCAAGCGUUGUUCGGAAUUACUGGGCGUAAAGGGCGCGUAGGCGGCCCGCUAAGUCGAACGUGAAAUCCCCGGGCUCAACCCGGGAACUGCGUCCGAUACUGGCAGGCUUGAAUCCGGGAGAGGGAUGCGGAAUUCCAGGUGUAGCGGUGAAAUGCGUAGAUAUCUGGAGGAACACCGGUGGCGAAGGCGGCAUCCUGGACCGGCAUUGACGCUGAGGCGCGAAAGUCAGGGGAGCAAACGGG